CAACCGUCCACUUGUUCUCUUCCAUGGCU
rnacentral:sRNA from 1 species